rnacentral:rRNA from 1 species
UUGCUAGUAAUGGCAGGUCAGCAUACUGCCGUGAAUACGUUCCCGGGCCCUUGUACACACCGCCCGUCACACCAUGAGAGUUGGGAAUACCCGAAGCCUGUGAGCUAACUUAUAGAGGCAGCAGUCGAAGGUAGAAUCAAUGAUUGGGGUGAAGUCGUAACAAGGUAGC